rnacentral:rRNA from 1 species
AACGUGCCCAGUCGUGGGGGAUAACGCAGCGAAAGCUGUGCUAAUACCGCAUACGAUCUCUGGAUGAAAGCGGGGGACUCGCAAGGGCCUCGCGCGAUUGGAGCGGCCGAUAUCAGAUUAGCUAGUUGGUGGGGUAAAAGCCCACCAAGGCGACGAUCUGUAGCUGGUCUGAGAGGACGACCAGCCACACUGGAACUGAGACACGGUCCAGACUCCUACGGGAGGCAGCAGUGGGGAAUUUUGGACAAUGGGCGAAAGCCUGAUCCAGCAAUGCCGCGUGCAG